rnacentral:rRNA from 1 species
UACGUAGGGCGCAAGCGUUAUCCGGAAUUAUUGGGCGUAAAGAGCUCGUAGGCGGUUUGUCGCGUCUGCCGUGAAAGUCCGGGGCUCAACUCCGGAUCUGCGGUGGGUACGGGCAGACUAGAGUGUGGUAGGGGAGACUGGAAUUCCCGGUGUAGCGGUGAAAUGCGCAGAUAUCGGGAAGAACACCCGUGGCGAAGGCGGCUCUCUGGGACGGUACUGACGCUGAGACGCGAAAGCGUGGGGAGCAAACGGG